ACAGCAUAAUGGACAUAAAGAAU
rnacentral:piRNA from 1 species